rnacentral:rRNA from 1 species
CCUACGGGAGGCAGCAGUGAGGAAUAUUGGUCAAUGGGCGGGAGUCUGAACCAGCCAAGCCGCGUGAGGGACGACGGUCCUAUGGAUUGUAAACCUCUUUUGUCCGGGGACAAACGCACCCACGGGUGGGCGGAUGAGUGUACCCGACGAAAAAGCAUCGGCUAACUCCGUGCCAGCAGCCGCGGUAAUACGGAGGAUGCGAGCGUUAUCCGGAUUUCUUGGGUUUAAAGGGUGCGUAGGCGGACGGUCAAGUCAGCGGUAAAAACGCGGUGCUAAACGCCGUACAGCCGUUGAAACUGGCAGUCUAGAGAGGACGAGAAGUAUGCGGAAUGUGUGGUGUAGCGGUGAAAUGCAUAGAGAUCACGCAGAACUCCGAUUGCGAAGGCAGCAUACCGGCGCCCUACUGACGCUGAGGCACGAAAGCGUGGGUAGCGAACAGGAUUAGAUACCCCUGUAGUC